UUUUUUUUUUUUUUGGUCGUAAUCGUGUGGACAUCAUUGGGAAUGGGGGGAACUAAAGUGACUGUAUGGUGGCUGCUUUGUAAGUUUCAAAGCAACAACAGCAGCUGUGCCUGAGCCCGUGUAUGCCUUGGGGACAGUCACAGCUCAGUUCCUGAGGAGGUGGAGCCCUCAGCUUCUCCCUGACAAGCAAAGUGGGGAGCAGGAAGAGGAGAGGACCUCAGGGGUGUGCAGUCUCCACCUCCUUCUCAUCCUUAAUGAACCAGAUCUUUCCAAGAAGACUACCAGGCUGCGCUCUGCUGACUUCUGGUGCCAGAACAAGAUGAAGCAGACACUUUUCCCCACUCCACUCCUCUAAACACAACUGAAUACCCUGGAAACUCUUCAAGAAACAAUGAUAAGAGCCCUAAAAGCUGUAAGAAAAGAAGGUGGACUGGCAAGAACCCUCAUGAGUUGAGAAAUAGCAGCCAGAAGCCCCAGGAUGCUGCCCCUCUGCCACCUGCCCCGUAGCCUUGAACCCAAAGACAAGAACCAGAGUCCCUUAGUUAGGGACUGCUGGUGACCUCACAGCAGGAAGUGGUUCUAAAAUGAUCCUGAUGGCCGCCAACACCACCCACAGGUCAGGUGGGCAGCAGCGGUCCCAGCUGUGCUCCUUAUUUAGCCUCAUUUUCAACCUGCUGACACUGUGUGGCUGUCUUCUGCGGAUGUGACGGUGAAGCAGCUGAGAGGUGGGAAGAGGUUCAGAGGGAAGCUGGAGAAGGAAAAUAAGGGUCAUCAAGUUGUGAGUCCUGCCGUCUCUUGAUCUCCAGCAGUGUCGGCUCGGGAGAAUCUCUCACACACCACGGAUCUAAGAUGCGACUCAGCAGAAGGCUCUGGAGUAUUUGGAGGAUAAAGCAGUUGAUGCUGUCAACACAGUCUCAGCCCGCUCCUCGCCUGAUGGAGGUCAAUCAGCUGGGAAGCAAGGUGAUGGUAGAGGAAGAAAACCUAUUACCAAGAGCCGGCUGAUUGGAAAAGGGUCAGACUCGUCCUAAGGAUUUUCUCAGCUAACAACUAAGCAAAAAACCUGUGUAGG